rnacentral:rRNA from 1 species
AUCGAGUCUUUGAACGCAAGUUGCGCCCGAGGCCAUCAGGCUAAGGGCACGCCUGCCUGGGCGUUGCGUGCUGCAUCUCUCUCCCAUUGCUAAGGCUGAACAGGCAUACUGUUCGGCCGGCGCGGAUGAGUGUUUGGCCCCUUGUUCUUCGGUGCGAUGGGUCCAAGACC